rnacentral:rRNA from 1 species
CCGACGGGUGAGUAACGCGUAUGCAACUUGCCUAUCAGAGGGGAUAACCCGGCGAAAGUCGGACUAAUACCGCAUGAAGCAGGGAUCCCGCAUGGGAAUAUUUGCUAAAGAUUCAUCGCUGAUAGAUAGGCAUGCGUUCCAUUAGGCAGUUGGCGGGUAACGGCCCACCAAACCGACGAUGGAUAGGGGUUCUGAGAGGAAGGUCCCCCACAUUGGAACUGAGACACGGUCCAA